UUCUUAGAAGCAACGAAAAUUAGGGUUCAAUCCCAGCAUUUUACAGCAGCAACGAUGUUUGACAGAUUUAGGGUUAAUUUAUCGUCCUUCUUCCCGGUCUCUUGAUCGUAGAGAUUUUCAAUUUCAUGGGACUGAAGUUUGGCUCUUUGGUCAAUUUCGUAUGCCAUAGAGAUGAAUGCAGUUCCCUAAAUCAUCUCUUCAACCUCUUCACCCAUUUUCGCUAAGGUUUUUUCUCCUUGUGAAUAUUUUUGUCGAGGCUGAUACAUGAUUUAUCAUUCUUCAGUUCACAUCUCUUCCUGUAUUGUCUCUGGUAUUCUAAAUUUUGAAUCGAUGUUAUAAAGACGAUUUUGUCCUAAAUGAUUGGAGUUUUGAUUUCGAGUAGUAAUUCAGGCAGCCUCUCUGCAAUUUUCAUGGCAAAGGAGGCGUUAAACUGCUCGUAGAUCGAAUCGCUUAUGCUCUUCAGACUUGCUGAGGUUUCCUCUGAAGCUCGUCUAUACACAUACUGAUGAUGCCAGAAUGGUAAAUAAUUUGAAGCUGAAGAUGAAGAACGACCAUAUCUUAGCCUUUGUGUGGUGAUUUUUUUGGUGUUUUUUUUUAGAAACAGGUUAUUGUAGUUAUGAGAUUAAGAUUUUAAGGUCUUUCUACCUUUCUAAUUUUUGUAGCCUAUGCAUAGUUGCGAUGAUGUUAACCACCAAUGGUUAGUCUUGUUUGUGAAGGCUUUUCAAUUUGGAAAACAAGAACCUUUUGAGACUGGUAUGCCUA